AGCGACUGACUUCACAUCGUUGACCGACUCCAUGACGUUCAUCUCACACAUCAGCUUCUUGGUCUGCCAGUCCACACAGGCCACGUGGCCCCUCCUCCCUCCCAGCAGAAGGUGACUGAAAGACAACACACACACACAUAUAUAUGCAUGUAUUGUCUGUGUGUGUGUACGUGUGUGUUCCUGUCAUCAGAGACACGGACGCUCAGGUAAGGUCGCCAAGUUAAAAUACUAAAGAGCGAACUGCCACUGGGGGGCAGCGCCUCACUCUGACCAGGAAUCAAACUCCCCAGCCCGGUUGAGCAGGUCCAGCUGCCCCGCGAGGUUUUGGUUUUGAUAAAAACAAAAAACAAGUGUGUGAUCUGCAGCUGACUGAUGUCAAGAACGAACAUCUGCAUUCCUGUCUGAUGACAUCAUCACUGGAGUUACUGAACUGUAACAGAGCGGUAACUGAAACCGUGACCUGACCUCUGACCUCCACUGGACCUCUGUGUGAAGGUCACUAAGACAAAACUUCAUAUAAAACUGGAACAAAAAUGUGUUAAUGAUUUAACAUGACGUCAUCACACUGAGACCACGGGCUAACACCACGGAGGUGUUAUCCUGCCCCCAAGUGGCCAAAAAACAAAGACAGUUCUAUUUGAAAACUACUCCCUGAGUUCUAGUUCUGCACAAUAUUAGAAAAA